GGUACGUGAUAAUUUGGCAAAAGGGCUACCAAAGCACAGAUAACGUCGAGGGUUCAGCGACAUCAAAACUAAAAGGAGUUGCUUACACAAAUAUAUCCAAUUCUUCAGAUCUCAGGACACCAUUUCCAGAGAGAUACAACAGAGUGUGGGACGUCUCAGAUUACGUCAUACCUGCACAGCAAACAAACGGGUUUUUCGUCAUGACAAAUAUGGUUUUAUCGCCAAUGCAAUCAAGGGGGUCAUGUCCAGAGGAUCCCGAUAUUGAUAGGGAAUCAUGCACGUCUGAUGAUGAAUGUAGACCAGACGAGGGCAUUAUAACAGGAAAUGGUAAGUUAUAUUUUCUUUUUCAAUAACUUUCCGCGUAGCGAUUGAGCUGGUUUCUCCUCCUGCAUUCAUACUAUCGUAUCACAUUGCUCAUGAUGAAUAAAUAAUAGACGCUGAUAGAUAGUAAGGGAUAUUGAACGGACGGAUAUGAAAAGUCGGGGAAUGAAAUAACAAAGGUUAUGAAUGAGCGCGAGAUAGUGACGAAGAAGAGAUCGCACGAGGAAUACCAGAUUUGAUUAAUUCCGCAUUUAGAAACAUAUUAAACAAAUUGCAAAGUUAAAUCAAUAUACUCGUAGCGGAAAUACCAAGGAACAAAAUUAGCCUCAAGAAGAUAAAAAGCAUAGGAUAAAAAAAUGAAAUAAAGAAAUAAGAAUGAAGCAAACUUUUCUUCAAGAAGUGGGAUGAGGGGUAUUUGUUCCUAAUAUUUUCUUGGGAAAAAGAGUGAAAUAUAAAAAAAUCGAAUUAAAUUACAUCGAGGUUGAAAGAAUUCCAAAAUAAACAUAAUGAUAGAACAAUUUUCGUGCCAAAAGAAAUGAGAUCUACCGAGGUAUAUUUAUCAUUAAAUUGUAUCAUAUACGGUGAAUAGAUUUAAUAAUUUAAUUCGGUUUUCAUUCCAAAAAAUAAUAUACAAACAAACGCAAUAUAAAUAGAUUGAUAUAUAUGACAUGGCAUGAUACGUAGUUUAUCCAAGUAAAGUGUAUAACGAUGCACAAAACCAAACAUUUGCAUGGGGUAUACCAGAAAGCUAAACCUAUAUAAUGUGAUUAUCCACUAAUAUUUUCGAUAUAUUGAUUUUAAUGUAAUCACGGUGAAAUAUAGAAACAAGAACACAAAAAAACCAUACCAGUUCUUUUAAACAUAUUAUAUUGUAUAGUUCUGUUUACUCAAUAUCGAGUCAUUUUACGCAACAUUUUUUGAGUCAUGUAUAUUAUUUGACCAGCAAGACCUCUUUUUCACCAUAUUUAUCUAUCUUCCUCACUUCCUGUCGACGAUUAGGUUAAAGGGAUUGUGCGUAUAGUCACAUGACCAAGUCAUCUAGAUCACCAUUUUAGUCCUAAGGCCUCGUUGUUGUUUUUUCUCUUUUACCCCCUUUGAACUUAAAAAAAAUGGUUCAGUAUCGGUCAGUAUUCUGAAAUCAACUGUAGUCUUAAGUCUUAGGUUUAACCAUGGUUAGCGAAUUACGCACGAAGACAUGAACAAAAUAUUGACGUUUUGGGCUUUCAAUAGUUUUAGCAAGCCCACGUUAAACUGGCCUCAACAUAUACGGGCCGUGGGGAUUUCAUAUCUUCAUUAGAUUUGUUCAUCCGAUUUCAUGCUGAAUCCAUAUUUGAUCAUGUUAAACUGAAAUAAACUACUCCGAUAUAGCUGUGGUGUCUAAAUUACACCAUCGGUGUACAUGCAAGGGCGUGGCAAGUAAUACACCCAAACAUUUAAUAUUUAUGAUGUUAGUUCAGCACAAAUGGUGUUGAUAUAUCACCUUUGGCUAUUUAAGCGACCUUUGGAUUUGUGUUCAAAUUCAAAUUUGUUCAGUCAACAUAUGAGGUCGUGUUUUUUUUGCUAUUACACACUGGUGUACUUCGUUAUUUAAUAAAGAGUUCCUGACCCAAGAUAUCGCCAUGUCGGAUGCGGCCCGUGUCACAUUGCGCCCCCCCUUCCUUUCCCACCCGCCGUACUGAAACUCAACCGGCAGAAAUCAACUAUUUUUGCUACAUCCUUGGCAACAGCUAGGGCAAAAAGGCUUCAUUACAGGGGAGGGCAAGGAGGACAUGUGCCCCCCCCCCACCUUGACCAGACAAUUUGUGACCAGUUUCGUAACCAUAUGUUUGACACGUUUAUUUAACAAUUGGAUACAGACGGCGUGAAAAUUGCUCGGAGUAGACGAAUUUAAGACUCGGCAAAACCAUCAUCGAGCGAGGUAAAUCAUGAAUAAAUUCACCUAUAUUUUAACAACUGGACUCUUCACGAAGUGUAUUGUCAGCGAUUUUCACCGACAGAUGUUAAAAGCUACCGAAAAUCCUUCCAUCUGAUUGGCUGAUAGCAAAUUAGUCGGUGAAAAUCUCUUAAAGUACUCUUCUUCAUGAAAUGCUGCUCUGGUCUUAAUAUGAAUUGUUAUAUAUAGAGAGAGAAAAGUGAUACCGUUUUUCUUUCAAGCCUUUAAAUGUAUUCAUUCCAGGUGCUAAGUUUGAAAAGAAAGGGCCUGAAAUAGCACCUGUUGGUCGGUGCGGAGUAAAAUCAAUGAAAGCUGUGUGUUUAAACGCCUGAAGUAAGAGCUAAUCGAACAAACGGAGUCUAUUAUGUAUAUCCUUACAUUGGGCACGCUGCGAGAGUAAUAUUUUUGCAAAUUAUUACAGAUUUGUUCGAGGCAGCGCAAGAUGUACGUGACGUAUUUAGUUGUCCUUGGUUGCUUAGAAAGUAUCAUGUUAAAUAUAUCGUUAUUUAGGCUUUUGACCCCCUCCCCAAAAAAGAACAGGGCCCCGUUGUACAAAGAGUUACGAUUGAUCAGAUCAAUCGCAACUAUGGAAAGCCAGCAAAGUCAACAUAUGAAAUGCAUGUUUGUUC